rnacentral:rRNA from 1 species
UUUCAGCGAGGAAGACGCUAGUGGUUAAUACCAUUAGGAAAGACAUCACUCGCAGAAGAAGCACCGGCUAACUCCGUGCCAGCAGCCGCGGUAAUACGGAGGGUGCAAGCGUUAAUCGGAAUUACUGGGCGUAAAGCGCGCGUAGGUGGCUUGAUAAGCCGGUUGUGAAAGCCCCGGGCUCAACCUGGGAACGGCAUCCGGAACUGUCAAGCUAGAGUGCAGGAGAGGAAGGUAGAAUUCCCGGUGUAGCGGUGAAAUGCGUAGAGAUCGGGAGGAAUACCAGUGGCGAAGGCGGCCUUCUGGACUGACACUGACACUGAGGUGCGAAAGCGUGGGUAGCAAACAGAUUAGAUACCCUGGUAGUCCACGCCGUAAACGAUGUCGACCAGCCGUUGGGUGCCUAGCGCACUUUGUGCGAAGUUAACGCGAUAAGAGACCGCCU